UACGGAGGGUGCAAGCAUUGAUCGGAAUUACUGGGCGUAAAGGGCGCGUAGGCGGCAAAAUAAGUCAGAUGUGAAAUUCCGGGGCUCAACCCCGGAGCUGCAUUUGAAACUAUUUAGCUAGAGUACAGUUAGGGUAAACGGAAUUCCACGUGUAGCGGUGAAAUGCGUAGAUAUGUGGAAGAACACCGGUGGUGAAGACGGUUUACUGGGCUGUAACUGACGCUGAGGCGCGAAAGCGUGGGGAGCAAACAGG
rnacentral:rRNA from 1 species